UAUAAUAAACCACCCCCUUUAUCUUUUCUAUUAAAAUAAAACUCUAACUUUUCUAACCAGGCCACCCCUCUUUGGCCCGUCUGUCCCUUUCUUCCUGGCAGCCCAGCUCUCCUCUUCCUCUGGCCCGAUCCGGCCCAACCCACCUUACCCUCCACCAGGCCCAUACCUCUUCGAGUGGAGAGGCUCUCCACUUUUGUCCUGUUGUCGUCUUCCUCAUCUCACGAGAAGGACGUGAGCGAGCAGCUCAUCCGGUCCUCACCUGCUCCCCUGGUCCUCCACCACAUGUUUCCCUCUUUUAUCCCCAGCGUUGCACCCUCCUGGAAACCCUAGCCCUAUCCUCCUCCCUCGCGCCGCCACCCCAUCCUCGCUCCCCUUGGUUUCCUCUCUACCUGCUCACAGAGAGCGACCCAAACAGCCACCGGGAACACCACCUCGCCAUGGCGUCGCCGCUCCAAGGCUCCCCCCACCAUUCCGAGGGCACCAUCAGAUGCGGCUCGUCGUCCUCGUCAUCCCCCUGCAAGGAAUCGAGUCAAUACCCUGUAAAUCGAGCGCAAGGUCGCCGAUUCUUCGCGCCGGACUUCAUGCUUCUUCUCCGAUUCCGGCCGCCCUCGUCCUCCUCCGGCCAAACCGAGCCCGCCUUCAUCUUCCUGGUACUCGUCGUCGGCGGUACUUUGUCAAGGCCCGGUGCCAAAACUGCUCACCCCUGGUUCCCCUUGGUCUUCCGCUUCGAGCACGCCGACUCCCGCAUCCAGGCGUGCGCCAGGCUUCCAGAUCGAGGCUCACAUGCAUCGUGUUCAUCCUUUUCCAUCCGUCGUGGUCGCCAGGGACCAAGUCCGUCCAGCACUACCUCAUGUUGACGCACACCUGACACUGUUCAUCAAUCUGCACAUAGCCCAGCUGAUCCGGCGCUGCAGAUGGGCCGAGGCCCAUCUCUCCCUGGUGCUGCACGAUGCUGAUGCGCGCCCACCUUCUAUUCACCGCCGGCCCAGGCGCAGCAGAGUUCCAGGCCAGCAUUUGCUUCUUCGCGGAUAGGAUCACGAAGUGGUGAUGUGAGAUACGACGAGUUCUCCGACAAGUUCUUCUGCAGCUUUUCACAGGCGAGCCCACCCCUUCACCUAUUUUACAUUUACAUGCUCUUUUGAUCUAUUGCUAUCCCUAUGUUGCGAUUCUGUUGUGUCACGUGUCCUAUCCACCUGUUACCUAUAUGUCCGAGAUACACCUCCUCGCCCUACCUAUUGUUUGUUGUUUGCCAGCUUUGCGAGUCGUAGGCGAGUUUAGGGUCUUGUUGAUAUCUCGAGAUGUUCGGGAUAUCUCUUUGGGAGGUUAUCACAUGCUAUAUAUUUUGUUGGAGAUAAUCACACUUUACUUUAUUGUUAACAACUAAAAUUGUAAGCAGAGGCAUCUGUGAGCCCCUUUGCGAAAGCAUCGGAACUUUGACUUGCUAAUGUCCCCUAGGACCCGAGUUCUUGUUAUCUGUUCCGAGAUUGAGCGCUCUACCCGUACGUGGGGGAGUGGGACCCCCAUCACCCACUACCUUUCCUCGAGUCUGUUUAUUGGGAGCCACAACCUUGGUUUUAUUUGCUCAUAUGCACGAUGCACGAUUUACUUCUGUUGCCUUCGGGUGUUUAUAUUCUGUAUUGUACUCAUCUUGUGGAACGAUUAGCGACAGCAGGUUGUUCACACUUAGCUUAGCCGUUGGCACAAACCUCUGGGUCCGUAUCGGAGUACGGCCGAACUUCGUCACGGGUAGCUUAGUUGGGUGGCUCCCAUUAAACUUUCUCUUGCAUUGGGAACGGUCUUGAUGUGAGACUCCACCUGUAGUAAGUGGGUUCGAGCAUGCGUAUGGUUACAUUUGGGCAACCCCUGCAGGGUGUACAUCUUAUCGAUAAGCCGUGUCCGCGGUUAUGGACGACUUGGAAUUGUAUGGCUUGAUCAUAGAACAACUUACACCUUAUACUUGUUGUUAAUAAUCUGAUAAUAACUUGUGUAGUAAUAUAGCAUUACCACAACCGAUACCUAAUAAAAUUUGUCCACCGUUGAGUGCCUUUUACAUUGCCUCUUCGCUUUGUUGAAGGGGAUAUGUGUAAUCGGCUGGGUUAUGUUUGUGUAGUAUUUAUCUGUUACCUUGUGCGCUCUCUUAUCUUCUCUGAGUAGACGGAUGUUGUAGCGUGUCUCUAUUGGAUAGUAGCUUUGCUGCCGCUAAACCCCACAUAUAGCCGGGUGAAGUUUAUACCGCCCACCAGCGAGCAUAGCUGGUCUUGUCUCGCAAGUACGUGCCAAUGGUACUUACCCUCGCCUUCCUUUCUUUUUGUCUCCUCCCCCUUUUGUCGGCAACCGAUGGCCCGACUUCGACAGGUACGAGAUGACGACGUUAGCAAGGUUACCCUUCCGGCUUGGCCUGGGCAGGGUUAUGGACGCCACUGGUUAUCUUCAGGACUCUUAGUCCAAUUUGUAUCUUGUCCGUACUCGGACGUAUUCGAUCUUCUGUAUGAUUUGAAUCUUUGUAUUAUAUAUUUGUAUCUUGACUCGUUGGAGUCGUUGUUGUAUAUAUGUAUCUUGUGGGCUCUAUUGUAAUCCUGUUGUAAUGUUA